AGCGAACGCUGGCGGCAGGCUUAACACAUGCAAGUCGAACGCCCCGCAAGGGGAGUGGCAGACGGGUGAGUAACACGUGGGAACGUACCCUUUGGUUCGGAAUAACUUGGGGAAACUCAAGCUAAUACCGGAUAAGCCCUUAUGGGGAAAGGUUUACUGCCGAAGGAUCGGCCCGCGUCUGAUUAGCUAGUUGGUGAGGUAAUGGCUCACCAAGGCGACGAUCAGUAGCUGGUCUGAGAGGAUGAUCAGCCACACUGGGACUGAGACACGGCCCAGACUCCUACGGGAGGCAGCAGUGGGGAAUAUUGGACAAUGGGGGCAACCCUGAUGCAGCGACGCCGCGUGAGGGAUGACGGCCUUCGGGUUGUAAACCUCUUUCAGUAGGGACGAAGCGCAAGUGACGGUACCUACAGAAGAAGGACCGGCCAACUACGUGCCAGCAGCCGCCGUAAUAC
rnacentral:rRNA from 1 species